GAUGAACGCUAGCGGCAGGCCCAAUACAUGCAAGUCGAACGGUGUCUUCGGACAUAGUGGCGCACGGGUGCGUAACACGUAUGCAACCUACCUUACAUUGGGGGAUAGCCUUUCGAAAGGGAGAUUAAUACCGCAUAAGACAGUAGCUGGGCAUCCAGCAGCUGUUAAAGAUUUAUCGAUGUAAGCUGGGCAUGCGUCCAAUUAGCUAGUUGGUGAGGUAACGGCUCACCAAGGCAAUGAUUGGUAGGGGAACUGAGAGGUCAAUCCCCCCCACUGGCACUGAGAUACGGGCCAGACUCCUACGGGAGGCAGCAGUAGGGAAUAUUGGGCAAUGGACGCAAGUCUGACCCAGCCAUGCCGCGGGCAGGAUGAAGGCGUUAUGCGUUGUAAACUGCUUUUAUACAGGAAGAAACGACUCUUGCGAGAGGCAUUGACGGUACUGUAUGAAUAAGCACCGGCUAACUCCGUGCCAGCAGCCGCAGUAAGAC
rnacentral:rRNA from 1 species